rnacentral:lncRNA from 1 species
AAAAUUUUACUACGUAUUAUUUUAACUUUCUAUCCAAAUAACUUUUCAGCGAAAAAAAUAUUCCCUCCUAUUCCUUAAAAUAUUUCCGCCUAUUCUUUGGACUUAAGUUCGGAAUACUUUUGAAAUUAUUUUAGCAAUAGUAAACACUUCUCAUCGUCGCUGCCCUACCGCCAUUGCUAUCUGUCUUCUCUAUUUUACCGUCGCCAGCCACCAAUCCCAGGUAACACAAAUGAUAUCUCUCUCUCUCACUGAUAUAUAAAUAUGUAUAUAAAAUUUUGCAGAGUUUGGAUGGGAGAGAGAUCUGGGUAAAUGUUGCUGAAGAUAAAUCCAAGCGCAGCUAUGAGUCUUUCAAAAUUUUGAUUUAGGUAUUUCUUUUUUGCAUUUGCUGUAAGUUUUGAGUCUCGACUUGCAAAUUUCUUAUAAGAUAAUGUGUUUAAUGAUGUUUUUCCUUUAUUUUGCUUUUUGGGAGCGUUAGAUUGGUGAAUGAAUGUUUGUGACAUGCGAAAUUCGCCUUCCACUUGUAUGUUAAAUUACUGUUUCUUUUAAGCCGUGGUGUGCUCAAGUAGCUAGAUGAAACCAGUAAAUAUAGAAAGUUUUGGAGUAUUUAAAGUAGUAACCUUUUGUUAUUAACUGACUUCUAGGUACUCGACCUUUUGCCUCACUAGGAUUUGCUCGUAUUCAUUAUAAAAAGUUGUAUGCUCAGUAUCUAAGCAACUAUCUUUGUUUUUCUUUUUUUUCCAUUACUGUUUCUUUUGUGGCAUAAUCUGUGUUUCUUACUCCAUUUCACAUAUGGAAGAACUAACAAAAAAAUAUUGCAAUUUUAUAUUUUGUACAAUGAAAUAGAGUGAGAGCAACUGAAGAUUCAACAACUGUUCUUUUAGUUUGAUGCCAAGAUACUCAUCAAGUUAGUUCCUUAUUAAGAUCGAACAAUUCUUUGAGGCUACCUUGUUAGGAAGAGUAAUCAGAGAUUUGAAGAAAAAUGUAGAAUAGUUUGUUGAGACACUUAUGAUAGGUCGUGUUAGCUACUUACUGCCACUCAGAUUUUACUACCACUAAGCACUUUAUCUUUUAGUGCUUAGAAAAACUCUAGAGUCUCAAGUGUGCUUUGGACAAAUUGAUACAUCAUGAGUUUAUCGGAGAUUCUUGAGUCCGAGAAAGACACUUCACGAAAAGCUAAGUAUUUUUAACAAGUAAUUCAACAUUCCAAUAUGUUAGCUUGCUGCCACUCAAAUUUUAUAGUCACUAAGCAUUUUACUAUAUAGUGCUUCAAAGAAAACUCUAUAGUGUAUUAGGUAAAGAUCAGAUAUAUCAUGAGUUUAUUGGAGAAGUAGAGUAUUUGUGGUAUAUAACUUGUUCAAGGCAUAUUUAUGAGAGAAAUAAACAUUCAAUGUAAGGGUAAAGUGUUUAAGGUUUUUAUGUGGAUUUACUGUUCGUCUAGUUUCUCAAGGUUCAUGCUUUAUUGCACAGAAUUUGUUUUCUUGAGAAAGAUUUUGGCAACUAUUAAGUGGCCAUUUAGAUAUUAAUCAUUCUCCUUUUUUUCUUUCUAUUUAAUGUGUUAAAUUGAACCAAAUUGCAUUUAAGUCACAUAAGAUCUUGUUAUAAGAACUUAAAUUUCCCUUUGAUUUGAAUACAACCAUACUAAUACCUUAUUGCCUAUUUAUUUGCAGGCUCGAAUUAAAAAGAUUAUGCAAGAUGAUGAGGAUGUGCGGGUGAUUAAUGGCAUGGUUGUCCCUCUUUUAAUCUGUAAGUGCUCUUGAAAAGUCACAUAGUUCAGUGAACUAAGUUAACAUCUUUUAGUUCGUAUUAUCAUGUAUGAAGUAGGAUUUAAAGAAAUCUUGGUAGAUUAUGCUCAGUUCACGCUAAGGAGUUUGAGUUGUCUUGUUUGAUUUAACAAACUUCAUAUGGUAAUUAAGUUCAAAUAAUACAAAAUACUCAUACUGUUAGGACCCAUAACAUUGAAAUGGAGGGUGUUUUUGAUGAAGCAUUUGUUAGCCUACUCAUAAAAAUUUCAGGACUACAAUAGAAGACAUUUUAAUAUUUUAUACAAUUGUACCAGAAAGAAUACAUACACAAUUCAAGCUAAUUAAGAUAUGUCAUCAAAGAAAGAAAACACAUCAUUUAUCGCAUACGGGAAGGCAUAUCAAUUAACUUAGCAUGUUAUCUAAGUAGGUAUCUUUGAAAUAUAUAAAAAACAAUUGACGGUCAAAACUAGAAUGCUACAUUUGUAAAAUGUUCUUAUGAGCAGCAGACUUUGAUCUAAAUAUUUGGUAUUGCUCACUAAAUUUUGAUUUAUAUGCUUUCCUCAACAUUUUACUAAAUAACUUUGAGCCAACACAGAAAACUCUGCCUUAUAUAGACAUUUUGGCUUCUUUAAUUCAUAACUUUUGUUGUAUGCUGGAGCAAAAAAUCUGUGUAUAGGCCCCAUUUUAGUUUUCUUUAUCUUUUCAGAUGUAGAUGUAGUUAAUUGUUGAAUUUAUCUACCACUUUAUACCUAUAAUAAUUCUGCCUAGAAUAAAUUGGGCAGCUUUGUUUUAUUAUCCAUACUGAAAUUUAGUUGCUUAAUCACUGGGAAGGCAAAAACGAGGAAUAUGUUAGAAAAGGUUUAUGUCAAUAGGUGAGAUAUUAUUUUAUGUAUAUGUAAUCAGUUUGCAUGAGCAUUAGAGUUCUAAUUUUAACUUUGGCUUUUUAUUUUUUACUGUCUAUUCAAAAAAUUGUCUAUUCUGCUAAUUUUAUCAACUAUAGAGAAGCCUCCCUUUUUAACUUGUGAGAAUUUGUAAGCAUGCCAAACAAAAUAUGUUUCUUUUUAGAAUCUAGAAGCUACUGAUAAUAAAAAAAUUCAAAGAACAAAGGAAAGGGUGAAAGAUAUACUAUUUUGAGAAUGUAAAUGUCCCAUAAUUAUUUUUUGAUUAUUGAUGGAUCUCACAUGUGGUUGUACGUAUACUCUUUUAUUUUAUCAUUUCACGUCAUACAUUAUGAUAUUUAGGAAUUUGGCAUGUGGAAAGCUUCAUUGUGAUCAAGAGCUUGAGAAUCUCGUGAUUCUUAUUUUCUAGUUUGUAGCCAUUUGAUAACAUAUUAUCAAAAGCUGAUAAUAGUAAUUAGAUUCAAAUAGCUUAGCUUUUUUAUUAUAUUGUCAACAUUUUGAAAUUGUGAAUUAGUAGUUGUUUUUGUUUGAUGUGGAUUUCAUGAAGUGAAUUUAGCAUUUCGAAAUGGAUUAGUAUUAUUUACUUUUAAUUGCAAUAAGAAAAAUUGGUAAAAGGUCUUCCUGGAUGGUAAUAAGAUAAAUUUACAUCGGCUAUAACAAAAAUUCGUUAUAUAUGUGAAAGAAGGUAUAUGCAUGAAUAGUCGAAUGGCCAUAAUAUUUGUCACCAGAUGGGGUUCCUUCUACUACCAAUUAAAUUGGUCUUUAGCUAUAAUAGUAAAAGCUGCAAAAUGUAUUAUAUAUGGAAUUUUUGGGGAGCUUUAGUGGCAAUUAUAAUUGUCGGUAAAUAAUUAUAGCUAAAACUAGUACACAUAUACUGGCCAUAAUAGCGGUCUUUACCAGCAUUUGAUCAAAUGGUCGCUAAAGCCUUUGUCGACGCCAGCUACAAAGGCGUAUGAUUAAUUGCUGGUAAGUAUUUUUGCGGCUAUUUGUAUUGCCGCUAAAUAGCAUUUUUAUAGCCGCUAAAAGCCUUUUUUGUUGUAGUUAGGUAGGUGAGUCUUGGUUCUUUAUCAAUGCCAAGGUUAACUUCUUUUAAGGCAUCAAUUGUUGUCUUCACCCCUUCUUCAAGUUCAGGUGGAGCAUCUUUCGCAUCUUCAUCUUCUUGAGAGUCCCCAUCAUUGAAGGAUAUGUGAUAACACGGUGAAUCAUCCUCCAAUUUCUCAUCAUCCUCCAUUAGAGAUGAAAUAGCAUUCUCGCCUUGUGUAGUAACAUGAUACGAAGAACCCACACUUUCUUCAUCUUCGUCAUGUUCCUUAGUGUAGACCACAAUAUAUGGCUUUACCUUCAAUACUUCUUUACAUAAAACCACAAGUUUUGUUUGUCGCCUCAUUCUAGAAGGAACCAAACUUUGGAAAUCCUUAGAGAUCUUCUGGAUUCUGGGCGAAGCGGGUGUUCUUAUGCUUUGAUAAUUUCUCUAGAACUUGUUCCCCUUAUUUAAUGGACCCAAUUUCUCAAAUACGGAAGUCCUCACAGUUGAUUUUCCAAGUCGAUCAAAGACAGAAGGCCUGUUAGAAGCGACAGAUUUAUCUUUUACAGUGAUAUAAUAGUUGCUCACCCUUCUAAUAGAGAUGCGCACUAGUGACAGUUACUUGUAUCCCAAACCUUCCUGUGGUUGCCUUGUAGUAGCUUCUGAUGGGAGCUUCCUUAACUUUGAUGACUGAUUAGGAUUGUAUCCAGCGUUUGCAAAUAGCCUGUAAGCAUUAAGAUCAAAAUCUUCAUCUAUUCGCUUUGUAGGUAGUGCCACAUUCUACAAAUGAUUUUGGGCCACAAACCCUGCAAGUAGCGUUGAGGACAACUUUACUGCUUCAAUUCGUUUAACCGGAAGAGAUAACCCCUUUAGCAUGUUUGUUUGGAGAUUAGAUUAUUCACCUUCAUCUUUCUUCUUUCUAGGAACAUAUUGGAGUGCAGAAGUUACUUUCUUGCCGUGAGAAACAAUGUUCCCUUUAUGAGAAUUAUUUGUGUCAGGGUGUACUUACUCGGUAACAACUUUGGUUUUGUCGGCAGCCACCUCAGCUCUUUCAGUCGUGGACUCAUCAUUCUUUCCCUUCAUGACAUCAUCAGCUUUUAACUCCUUCACAAUGUGGUUCUUUAAGUAGAACUUUACAUCGGCGAAGUGUGACUUAGCCUCGUUGAAUGGCUCGUCAUCAGAAACUAUCUUUUUCUCGACAUCACCCUCGUAGUACUUCAAAUAUUGAUGGUAGGCAAAUGAAACCACUUAAUUCUCAUGUAUCCAAGGCCUUCCAAGAAAUAUGUUGUAUGAAGUCUUUGUAUCGAUCACAUGCACUCAUGCACUUGAUUGCAUAUCUUCAAUGGUGAUCCCCAACCUGAUCGCAUUUAUGGCUCUGUGCCCCCUUGGUUGAAUCCUUGAAUCAUCACAUGACUUUUGGAGAGUUUGUUGAUGAGAAUACCAAGUUAUUUCACAGUGCGAAUUGGCAAGAUGUUCACUGAGGAUCCUCCAUCAACCAAAAUUUGAUUUACCUUUUCAUUGUGCAUAUGGCCAACCAGGUACAACAGGCGGUUAUGAGGAGUGUCACCUAGUAGAAGAUCAUCAUUUGUGAAUGUAAUUUUUUCCUCGCAAGUAUUAACUUCUUUAGGAAUGGACUCGAUAAGCUUUUCUGAAGAUGGUGCCAACGGUAGGUCAUCACUCUUUUCUUCCCCUUUAUCAGCAUCGCAAUAAGAGGCCUCAAUACCAUCACGAGAAAUCUUCAUAUAGAACCAAUAUGACAAGAAAUCCUCCAAGGUCACUGGAUGUCGUGGCUUUUGACGGUGGUGCACCUCCACUUUUGCUUUCUUCAAGCGCCUAACUGGAUUCUGUUUCCUUGAUCUUUUUACCAUUAUUUUCCUUAUUGGUUGUUCUUUUGAUUCUUUUUGUGGGCUUCUUUUGUGGCGCCUUCGACGAGCCACCAACGUCCAACCUUUAUUAUCAUCAGGCUGAUCAACUUCAACUUUGUUGUUCUCCAAUAAUUCUUCAUAUAUACUUUCUUUGAAACUACAUAUUUCAUAUGGAUUGAAUGAGCCAAAGGUGAUAGAGACUUGGUUUGUGCUUGCUUUCUCAUCUUUAAGCACGAUCUUUUUUUCACGAGCCAAGUCCAUAACUUUGUCCUUGAAGAUAAAACACUUCUCAUGAUGGUGGCUUACAAGUCGAUGGUAUUUGCAGUAAUUUGGGUUAUUCGUUUUCCCAGCUUUAUUCGGCCGCUUCAUCUACGAAAGCUCAAUGAGCUUUAACUCGAGGAGUUCUUCAAAAAUUGCUGACACAUCAGAAUCCAAAAAUGAGUACUCUUUCUCUUGCAUUUCUUUUAGAGUUAACUUUCCACUUGGCUUAUCUUGAAAAUAUGUGGAUUUCAUAUUCUACUUCUUGCUCACCUUCGUUUUGAAUUUCACAGGUGAUGUGUUGACAUUCAUAGUUUCUUUGUUUUCAGGCUUGGGUACAAACUUGCUCAAUUGCUUGACUUCUUGCUUGUUGUUCCAUUUACGAGGCUCAUAGAUGGGCAGCCUUUCAUUUCCAGCGGAGGCCAUGCUCAACUCCAUGUCAUGGGUAUGAGUUGCAAGUUCUUCAAAUGUGCUAGACUUGAUACCUUGAAAUAUAUAGUGCAGCCCCCAGUGCAUGCCUUGGAUUCCCAUUUCUAUGACAGAAGCUUCACUAAGCCUGUUUUUGCAGUUGAGGCUUGCAUUCCUCCAACAAUUGAUAAAGUCGAUAGCUGGUUCACCCUGUCGUUGACGAGUAUUUCUAAGUUCUAUCAUACUUACAAUAUGUUUCCUUGUCACGAUCCGAGUUCGCCCUUCGUGAACUGUCGUGACGGAACCUAGUCUCUACGAUUAGGUAAGCCUAACAAAUUAGGGAAAAAGGAAACAAAAGAUAAAUCCAGCCAAAACUGCGGAUAAAAAAACAUAAAUAAACGUUUAAGAUGCCGCUUGGCAUAUACAAUACAAACUCUCAAACAAAAAAGAACUCCCUAAACCUGGAAUCUCAUGAAUUCACAAGUUGUUGAAUGACUACAAGUGUUCUAAUCUCCAGAAUGUCUAUACAAAAGUAAAUACUGGAAAGCUAAAGCUAGAGGGGAGAAUAGAGAGGGACUCCUCGGUCUGCGGACGCGACAGAUAUACCUCCAAGUCUCUGAAGGUCGCCUCACCUCACAGAUGGUAUGGCUGUGUCGAAGAACCUGGAUCUGCACAUGAAAACAUGCGCAGGAAGGGCAUGAGUACACCACAGCGGUACUCAGUAAGUGCCAAGCCUAACCUCGGUCGAGUAGUGACGAGGAAAGUCAGGGCCCUACUGAUUAUAGAUGAAAAACAAGGUAAGACAGUAUAGAAUGUGACAAUAUAAUUAAAUACUAUUAGUAUGAAGUAACACAGGACAAUAAGAAUAACAAAUACAACGGAUAGAAAAUUAUAGAAAGAACGUAACUCCGCAUAUAGAUAGCAACCGUGGAUCUACCAGGAUACCGUCCUGUAGUCCCCAAAUAUAAAUAUCCAGUGGAUCUCCUGGGUGACGUCUCGUAGUCCAAAUCAUAAAGGUGCAAAGGAAACUCCCAGAAUACCAAUCCAUAGUCCCAAAUGUAAAUACCCAGUACUGGGGGAAUCUACCGGGUGCAAUCCCGUAGUUCCAAUAUAAAUGUGCAGGGGUAUCUACCGGAAUACCGAUUCGUAGUCCCAAAGUAAACAAGCAGGGGGAUCUCCUGGGAUAUCGUCCCGUAGUCCUAAAGUAAACACACAACCGUCUCAGAAGUAUACACAGUUCUAUUCAAGAAUUAAAUAGGAAAUUUCUACUCUAACAUGCUGCACAGAGUACAAAUAGGCAAUUAAGGCAGGUAAGACAAUUAAGUCACGUAAGCAUGCUUUUCCUAAUCUAAACAAGAGUCUUCAAGUACAAGUAUUUGCUAAAUUACAAGAAAACAUAGGUAUUAGUUUAAUGAAAAUGGGAGUUCAACAAUUAGCACGUGCACACACUCGUUACCUCACGUACAUGGCACUCAUAUAACAAAAUACCAAAUCCUAAAGGGAGUUCCCCCACACAAGGUUAGGUAAGCCACUUAUCUCGAAUCAGCUUAAUCAACUCGACAUCACGUUCUUGCCACGAGUACCCGAUGUCAAAUGGCCCAAAUCUAUUCAAAUGAAUUGUAUAAUGUAAAUAUAACUUCAAGUAACCAAUUCCACUAAUUAAAUUGAAGCUAACACGCGAAAUUAAGAAAAUCGGCCAAAAAGUCCCUUGGGCCCAUGUCUCGGAACCGGAUAAAUUUACAAAACUAGAAUCCUUACACUCUCACGAGUUCAUGCAUACCAAAUACAUCAAAAUCGGACCACAAACAACCUCUCAAAUCCCCAAUUCCAAGUCUCCAAUUUCAAACCCUAAACCCCCAAUUCUAACCAUUAUUUUCCUUAAAUUUCUUGCCAAAUCAGUAGAAUAAUACCAUAUAAACAAGUUUGGGUUCCAAAAAUCUUACCUCCUUGAAGCUCCCUUGAAUCCUCUCUCAAAAACCUCCCAAAAAGCUCAAUUCUCGGAUAGAAAUGGUAAAAGAAUAGGCUAGAAUUGCGACAGAAACCUUAUAUAGGUUCUGACCCAGGGUUUCCGCACCUGCGACCAUAUCCUCGCACCUGUGGACCCGCACAUGUACCUCGAGAGGGGAGAAUAGAGAGGGACUCUACGGUCUGCGGAUGCGGUAGAUAUACCUCGAAGUCUUUGAAGAUCGACUGAUGGUAUGGGUGAGCUGAAAAACCUGGAUCUGCACAUGAAAAAUAUGCGCAGGAAGGGCAUGAGUACACCACAACGGUACUCAGUAAGUGCCAAACCUAACCUCGGUCGAAUAGUGACGAGGAAAGUCAGGGCCCUACUGAUUAUAGAUGAAAAACAAGGUAAGACAAUAUAGAAUAUGACAAUAUAAUUAAAUACUAACAGUAUGAAGCAACACAUGACAAUAAGAAUAACAACAAAUACAACGGACAGAAAAUUACAGAAAGAACGUAAAUCCACAUAGAGAUAGCAAUCGUGGAUCUACCAGGAUACUGUCAUGUAGUCCCCAAAUAUAAAUAUCUAGUGGAUCUCCCAGGUGUCGUCCCGUAGUCCAAAUCAUAAAGGUGCAAGGGAAACUCCCAGAAUACCAAUCCGUAGUCCCAAAUGUAAAUACUCAGUACUGGGGGAAUCUACCGGGUGCAAUCCUGUAGUUCCAAUAUAAAUGAGCAGGGGGAUCUACCGGGAAUACCGAUUCAUAGUCCCAAAGUAAACAAGCAGGGGGAUCUCCCAGGAUAUCGUCCUGUAGUCCCAAAGUAAACACACAACCAUCUCAGAAAAAUACACAGUUCUAUUCAAGAAUUAAACAGGAAAUUUCUACUCUAACAUGCUGCACAAAGUACAAGUAGGCAAUUAAGGCAGGUAAGACAAUUAAGUCACUUAAGCAUGCUUUUCUUAAUCUAAACAAGAAGCUUCAAGUACAAGUAUUUGCUAAAUUACAAGAAAACAUAGGUAUUAGUUUAAUGAGAACGGAAUUUCAACAAUUAGCACGUGAGCGCACUUGUCCCCUCACGUACACAACACUCAUAUAACAAAAUACCAAAUCCUAAGGGGAGUUCUCCCACACAAGGUUAGGCAAGCCACUUACCUCGAACCAGCUCAAUCAACACAUCACGUUCUUGCCAUGAGUACUCGACUCCAAAUGACCCAAAUCUAUUCAAAUGAAUUGCAUAAUAUAAAUAGAACUUCAAGUAACCAAUUCCACUAAUUAAAUUGAAGCUAACAUGCGAAAUUAAGAAAAUCGGCCAAAAAGUCCCCCGGGCCCACGUAUCGGAACCGGAUAAAAUUCCCAAAACUAGAAUCCUUACACUCUCACGAGUUCAUGCAUACCAAAUACAUCAAAAUCGGACCACAAACAACCUCUCAAAUCCCCAAUUCCAAGUCUCCAAUUUCAAACCCUAAACCCCCAAUUCUAACCAUUAUUUUCCUUAAAUUUCUUGCCAAAUCAGUAGAAUAAUACCAUAUAAAUGAAUUUGGGGUUCCAAAAAUCUUACCUCCUUGAAGCUCCCUUGAAUCAUCUCUCACAAACCUCCCAAAAAGCUCAAUUCUUGGAUAAAAAUGGUAAAAGAAUAGGCUAAAAUCGCGACAGAAACCUUAUAUAGGUUAUGGCCCAAGGUUUCCGCACCUCCGGCCAUAUCCUCGCACCUGCGGUCCCAGGUGCGCAUCUACGAAAAUCAACUUAAAGUACUAGGCCGCACCUGCACUUCUUCUACUGCACCCGCGGUCUCGCAGGUGCGCUCAACCUAUUGCACCUGUAGAUUCUGGUUUCCAAGCGCCUAUCCGCAUCUGCAGCUCCUCCAUCGCUUCUGCGAUCACGCACCUGCAGUCCCCUAACCACAGGUGUGGUUAUGACAAAACUUCAUCCAAGCUUCAGAUUAUUCCUAAGUCCAAUUCAACUUUCGUUAAGCACCCGAAACUCACCCGAGGUCAUCGGGACCUCAACCAAAUAUGCCAAUCAAUCCUAAAACAUCAUACGAACUUAUUUCAACCCUCGAAUCAUAUCAAACAAUGCUACAACCACAAAUCGCUCUCCAAUCCAAGCCUAAGGAUUCUCAAAAUUUCAAAUUCCGCUUUCGAUCAAAAAGUCUAUCAAACCUCGUCCGAAUGACCUGAAAUUAUGCACGCACGUCAAAUUCAUCACUACAGAGUAACUCCAACUCUUGGAAUUCCUUUCUGAUCCCUAUAUCAAAAUCUCACUAUCGAACCGAAAACUUAAAAAAUUCAACUUUCGGUAUUUCAAGCCUAAAUAAGCUACGUACCUCCAAAACACAAUCAGAAUACGCCCAUAUGCCUGAAAUCACCCAACGGAGCUAACGAGACCAACGAAAUUCAAUUCUGAGGUCGUUUUCACACUGCUCCGACUAUAGUCCAAAUUUUGAAGCUUAAACUCUCUUUUAGGGAAUAAGUGUCUCAAAACACUCCGAAACCCAAAACGAAUACUCCCGGUAACUCACAAUAGCAGAAGCAAAUACGGGGAAAGCAAUUAAUAGGGGAUCGGGACGUAAAUUCUUAAAAUGACUGGCCGGGUUGUAUCACUCGUGCUAUAAAAGCAAUUGAGGAACUCUUGUUUGAGUUGAUCUCAGUUAUCAAUAGAUCCAGCCUCGAGGUCUGUAUACCAAUCAAAAGUAUUUUAUUUUAGUGAGCGGACAAACUACUUGACGAGGUAAUCUCCAUAAGUCCCAGCAUUUGUUGCACGUCUCAACGAAGUGCGCCAAAUAUUGCUUUGGAUUGCCUUUGCCAUCAAACUGUUGAAAUUUUAUAGGUUGAUAGCCAGCAGGCAUCUUCAACAUAUCGAUCCUUGAAGUGCACAACUUUGCGUAGGUAAGGGAGGACUUGGAAGCAACUCAUAUAUGUUUUUUAUAGUCCCUUCAAUGAACUCUUUUAGUUGAUUGAUUGGAAUCAUCCUUUCUGGAGAGACUAGAAUUUUCUUAGUGGAUGCAACUUGUCAUGGGGGAGGAUCAAUCUCUUGAACUUCUAGGACCUUGCCAUGUGCAUGGGUGGAUUCUUCUUCCAUCAAGAUUCCCACAUUGUCUGUUAGCUUGUCAAUCUAGCAUCUUGAUUUUUCAUGCAUUUGGUCAAGCUAGAAAUUGCUUCCAUCAAGUUUACCAACUGCUCCUCUACCGAUAAAGCGUUUGUCACCAUGGCUUGCAUGAUUGUUGUGGAUGAUGUGGAGUAGCAUGGAUUGUCACAUAGAUUGAUCCUUGAUUGGCUUACCUUAUGCGUUGUAAGUGGGGAGGAUCCAUCACUUGAAGCAUCACCAUUUUCCUUCACAACAGAGUUCUUGGAUCCGAAGAGGUGAAGCAGAGCAAGAUUUUUCUUAAUCUUUUCAGCAACAUUGCUUCCUCCUUCGGGUGCGUUUGUGGAAGAUAUUGCUCCUUUUGAGGAUGAAGAUCCGAAAACAGGGGUUGUCCUAAAGAGUUUGCCUUACUCCUUGUAUGUGAUGACCAAAGGGCCAUCUCUUGUUUUAGAAGUCAAAUCCGUGUUCUGAGGCCUUAAAAACCUCCUUUUAUCUCUCCUCGAUUUGCGUGUGCAGUCGGGGCGUGUAUUCGGAAAGCCUUUAUGUGAAAAUUUUAGAAAAUGAUGAUUUUUGGCUUAAAAAUAUGAUUUUAGUUGACUUUGAUUAAUAUUUUGGGUAAACGGAUCCGGACCCGUGUUCCAAAAAUCCCGGAGGGUCUGUAGUAAAAUAUGGGAUCUGGGCGUAUGCCCGGAAUCAAAUUCCAAGGUCCCUAGCCCGAGAAAUGAAUUUUUGAAGAAAAUUGAUAAGACUGAAAUGCAAUAAUUUAAAUGAUUCGAUCUUGUUGGUAUCGGUCGUAUUUUGGUUCCGGAGCUCAGUGCAGGUCCGUUAUAAUAUUUAAACCUUAUCUAUGAAAUUUGGUAAAAAACGGAAGUGAUUUGACGUGAUUCAGACCUUUGGUUGAGAAAAUAGAGAGUUUGAAACAAUCUUGAAAAUUUCAUAUGUUUUGGUGUUGAAUUCAUAGUUCUAGAUGUUAUUUUGGCGAUUUGAUCGCAUGAGCAAGUUCGUAUGAUGUUUUAAGACUUGUGUGCAUGUUUGGUUUGGAGCCCCGAGGGCCCGGUGAGUUUUGGAUAGGUUAUGGAAUGAUUUUGGAGUUAGGAAAAUGUUGUGGGUAUGCUUCAGCUGUUGCAGGACACUGAUCUCGCAAUUGCGAGAUCAGCCAUCGCAAUUGCAAGCUAUGCAGGGUCCGCUUUUGUCAGCCUUUAUUCGCAAAUGCGACUAGGAGACUAGGCCAGCAGAGUUCGCAAAUGCGAAAUAGUCAGGGAAGGGGGAUCAUCGCAAAUGCGACCAAAGGUUCACAUUUGCGACAGUAGCAGAAAUGCGGCAGGUUCGCAAUUUCGACACCAAUCUCGCAUUUGCGAGCUUCACAAUAGCGAAACUCAGGUCACAAAUGCGACAUCUGUAGCUGAUCAAAACAUAACUUAGAUGGGAUUUUUCAUUCAUUCUCCCAUUUUUCAAAACAUAAACUCCAAGAGGCGAUUUUCCUAGGGCAAGUUCUUCCCCAAAUCAUAGGUAAAUGAUUCUUAACUUAUUUCUUCCAGUCUAUUUCAUCUUUUUACAAGAUUUCAUCCUAGAAUCUAGGAUUUUUCAUGGUGGAAUUGGGUGUUUUUGGGUAGAAUUUAGGAAUUUCGAAAUUUGGGGAUUUAGACCUCAAAUUGAGGUUGGAUUCCAAGACCAAUCGUAUAUCCGGGCUCCAAAUUUCGAGUUUGGACCAAGCAGGCCCGAGGUCGGGUUUUGACUUUUUGGGAAAAAUGUUAGAAAACCUAUAAUUAUGCAUUGAGAUUGACUUCUUUAGCGUUUAUUGAUGUUAUUAAGUUAAUUAUGACUAGAUACGAGUGGAUUGGUGGUGGAAUCGAGAGGUAAAGCGGUGAUUGAGCUUUUAAAUACCCGUUGGCUUGAGGUAAGUGUUUGGUCUAACUUUGACUUGAGGGAUUAGGGAUCCCCGAAUUAAUUGAUAUGUAAAUUUUCGUGUGUGUGGCGUAUAGGUGUGGUGACGAGUACCUAUGCGCCACCAAAUUAUCUUUUUAGCUUGUUCCCUUCCUCGUUUCCUAUUAUAUUGUUUUUUGUCUUAAUUGCUGCUUGCUCAUAAAUGUUUCCAUGUCUAAUUGCUUCAUGUUAACUGUUAUUUCUCUAUUGAAGUAUUAAUUGUUUUGUAGUUUCAUUUUAUUAUCUUGUUGGUUAAAGUUGGUUAUUGGUGCUUCAUGGUACACUUUGGUUGGUCUCGCUGUGUAGUUUUAACUGGUGAAGUUUCAUAAUUGUAGUGAUAUUCCAUUGUGUUGGUUUGAGGUAUAAGUGUUGUGGAGGAUUUGAGUUAACUUGUGAAGCACUUGUCUUUAUUUUGUGAUUGGUGUUGAUAUAUAUUGGGAUCAGGUUGCACGCCGCAACAGGAGGAAUAAGGGUGAAUGUUGGCAGGAUUGGGUUGCGCGCCGCAACAAGGAGUAAUAAGGGUAGACAGGUGGGAUCGGGUUGCAUGCCGCAACAAGAGGAAUAAGGGUGAUAUAUAUAUAUUAAGGAGUAAUAAGGGUAGGCUAGUGGGAUCGGGUUGCACGCCGUAGCAAGGAGUAAUAAGGUUGAAAAUUUGUAUUGUUAUCGAUUAUAUGGUGGGAUCGAGAUAUGCGCCGCAUCAUUUGUUGUUUACGUAUUCAUCUUCUGUCGAGGUUCAUUUGUGGUGUUGAAACUCCCUUAAGGAUUGGUUAUAGCUUAGUAUUAGUAAAACGACUGAGUUCCAUAUUUACAUAAUGCCAGUUAUUGUUACAUUUCAUUCUUUAUUUCAUUUCUGUCUUAGUAUAAACUAUUAUAGGUUAUGUGUUGUUAUGCCCCGCCGUAGCCUUGUCACUAUUUCGUCGAGGUUAGGCUCGACACUUACCAAUACAUGGGGUCGGUUGUACUGAUACUGCACUCUGCACUUUCUGUGCUGAUUUCAGAGCUAGUGGCUGAUCGAGAGAUUGGUUGAUGUUACUGCUUCCAGGAGACCCAAAGUAGUCCUGCAGGCGUCCGCAAGCCCUAGCAUCCCUUUCUAUCUUUACUUCAUUUCUGUUUUACUUUCUUCGAGACAGAUGUAUUUUCUUGCAGACCAUUACUUGUAGUAUUCGUAGAUGUUUGUGAGUUGUGACAUCAGUUUCUAGGUGGUAUCUAUUUCGGCUUUUGUUAAUGGCAUAUGAGUAAUAAUUUAAAUUAUGUACUUCCACUUUUAUUUUCGCUGA